GUAGUUUAGGAAAAAAGUAAAACUUAAAUCAAAAUUUAAGAAAAGAAAAAACAAAAGCGGUGCUGGUGACGUAACUGAUUGCCGACUUUUCCGGAUAAGAUCGAGUUCCUUCACAUCAAACCCUUAUCCCAACAAACAUGAUUCCUCCGCCACAAACAUUGAUAUUCCGAUCGCCUUCAAAAACCACAAACCCUUAUCCUAACAAACAUGAUUCCUCCGCCACAAACAUUGAUAUUCCGAUCGCCUUCAAAAACCACACCUCCUACAUCUUCACCUGCCCUUCUUUAGUUUAAUGUUGUUCCGAUGCAUCGGCCAUAUCUAGAAUAAUAUAAAUAAGUGGCGGUCUAGAUCUAGUGUCUCUUAUUACCCGCGAGUAGUGGAAGAAGGUGUUCAUACUGUACCAAACUUUAUCAUCAAUACUCUCCUUACUUUUGCAGAAAUCUUGUCACAGGGCCGAUCUGGGUUGGUUCCAAACUCACCCUCACUCCAUCAUGUUAUCGGCUAUACCAGUUUCUUGAUGUACGGAACCCAACUUGUUGUUUCUGCUGCAGUUAAUCUAGAAAUCAAAGUGGUGGACAUGUGGACAGAAAUUGGGAUCAUGCCAUUCAUUGCUUAUGGUAGGAAGCGUGCAACAGAAGACAGGUUCGGUUGUGGAAGUCGGCAAAGCGAUGCAUCAAGAGAAUGGCAACAUAGAACAUGAUGGGCUGAGGGUGAGUUUGGAAGGGGACCCAGGUAGGCCCUGCCACUUGAUUUCUGCAAAAGCAAGGAGAGCAUUGAUGAUAAAGCUUAGUGCAGAAUGGGGCAUGACAACACCUUCUUCCCCAAAUGCUACUCGCGGGUAAUAAGGAUUGUGGCCGAGAAUCAAAUGUGUGGCGGUAAGGAAUGUGCGACGUUUGGUUUUAGUGGGUAGGCAACCGGAAUAUCAAAUUUGUGUAUUUUAAAUUCAUCCCUGUAGAAUUUGAAUCCAAAAGGCUGGGAUGUUAGAAGCUUUGUUUGUACCUUUUUCUUUUAAGAAAAAUAAAGAUUGCUAUUACAAGAAAUGUCUGUA